rnacentral:tRNA from 1 species
CCAGCACCUGGCCGAGGCGCAAUGGAUCGCCGAUCAAGGCGGUGGGCAGUUCGGCGGCGAUGCUGAACAGCAGUUCCAGGCCUUUGUCCUCGGCC